ensembl:lincRNA Gm2464 predicted gene 2464
GACUCGGAGCCAGGCGGACUUGCAGGCAGCGGGGCCACCGCGGCUGCUGGGCGACCUCGGAGCCCUCGAAGCCCUCUGAGCCGCUCGGGCGGGCGCGGCGGUGAGAGCCCGGCGAGGCGGCCUCCUCGGCGAGCCCGGACUAGCAGGUGCCGCUCACGCUGGGCUGAGCGCACGCACACGCACACGCAGACGGGCAGGGCGCGGGCUAGCGGGGACCGCGCGGGGCGGGCCGGAGGCGCGCAGCUGCCGCCGCCGCCGCCGCCGCCUCUGCCGCUGCUGGUACUGCCGCUGGUGCUGAUGCUGCGGGCGCUCCGCCAAAGAAGAACAGCUCAGGGAUGUUCAGCGGAGGCAUCAGAGGGCACACAACUUGCUGCCCACUGCAAAGUUGCCGCUUGCCACUUCCUUAUUAUUCGGUUUUCAUCUCCAGGCUGCAAGUCCAAGGAGAGGAUCGAGGCAGACAAGUGAGUCCAUUGUGUGAGUGUUUGCCCGGCAGCAGGCACCUGGCGACGGUCGAGAGGGGGAGAUGUGCACCACUCACUAGAAGGCUGCCAAAGAUCAGCUACAAGCCAGGCGGCUGAGCAGUGCUUUGGAAGGUGGAAGAAACAAGGAGUUCACCAAGCAUCUGCUGAGGGAUGCCUGUCCCUGGAACAAAGAUGCCAUCAGCCAAUCACUGACUGCUUUGGGAUUCUUCUACUGCUGCCUGUUGCAGAAUCAGCUUUCUGGGCUCUGCAAUGAAUUAAUUUUUCUUCAUCUUUCAUAAACUAUUCUAUCAAACCCGUUUCUCUGUAUUGCUUUGAAUGUGGUUUGCACUAAAUUAGUUGCCAACGUCUGUAUUAUAAAAUAAAAAAUAAAUACAGUUUGUUGUCUCUCA